UACAGAGGGGGCAAGCGUUGUUCGGAAUUACUGGGCGUAAAGGGCGCGUAGGCGGCCUGUUAAGUCGAACGUGAAAUCCCCGGGCUCAACCCGGGAACUGCGUCCGAUACUGGCAGGCUUGAAUCCGGGAGAGGGAUGCGGAAUUCCGGGUGUAGCGGUGAAAUGCGCAGAUAUCAGGAGGAACACCGGUGGCGAAGGCGGGUCUCUGGGCCGAUACUGACGCUGAGGAGCGAAAGCGUGGGGAGCGAACAGG
rnacentral:rRNA from 1 species